rnacentral:ribozyme from 1 species
CUGAGGACACGCUCUAUAUUUACAUGAGCCAGCGACAAUGAAAAGCUUUGCAAUCAAGCAAAUCGAAGAGAUGGGAAUCAAAAUUCUACAGCACAUCUAUUGCUCCUUCUUAGAUCUUUUUUUUUUCUUAGUCGAUCCCUUUUUCGAUUUUUUCUUUUUAUCUGUAUCCAAAUUGAG